GGUUAGGGUUAACCACAAGAGAAGUUGCACAAAGCAACUUCUUUGCAGAGGCAAAGCAACAGCGGUUGUGCUCUGAAAGUCAGUGUUGAACUUCAGGCACACUGCCAAAGCUCACCUAGCUAUGCUGAUAGGCUUGCAGGUUUACCUUGUUGAGGGAUAGCCACCAGGCCGGAAGCAACUUUAUCUUCUCUAUGUCCUGGGCCAGCCCAUCAACUAUAACCAGUAUCCUUCCAACUCUGUUCAUCUAUGUUCAGUGUAUCCUGUACAGAGUCUGGACAUUGCAUCCAUGGAUCUAUUGUUAAUCUCCUAAUAGUUUCCUUUAGACUCAGAGCAAUAUGGAGACUAAGGAAUAUCAGCUAACUCAAAUCUGUGAUUUACAAUUUUCCACAAUCAAGGAUUGGGUGCCAGACAGCUCCAUCUUCCAAAACCAUUUGCUGCUUGAGCCACCAGGCCUACAUCCACAAUCCCUAUGUUCCAGCCAAAUAAGCCUCUUCCGAUUGGCUGAAAAUUUCAACUUUGUGGUACCAUCAUUGUCAUUGAUUCUCUUCCCUUUUCACUAUUUUUUAUCCUUCUACUCCCUUUGCCAAUGAUGACUUCUGGUUGGCAGUAAAAGAUCUAAUCUAAGGAAGCAUCCAAGUUAGUAA